ensembl:lncRNA uncharacterized LOC109059551
GUAUCUAAUACUUUCAGUAUUGCCGAAGGUUUGUGUGACUUUCCAUUAAUUAUUCUUUUGAGACUAUCCAAAAGACAAAAGGAAGUCAAAGAGGACAUUGAGGCUAUAAAGAAGUGCACGCAAAGGUCUGAUGAGGAACUGCAACAGUGGGUCAUUGAUGUGACACAGUGGGCAGUUGACACACCAGAUGACCUCAGAACAGAUGAUCCAGUGGCGUUGCAACAUCUGAUUGAAGGCCUAUUCUUGGGCAUCCAGCAGAAAAAGAGGAAUCUAUAUCGAGUAACCGACCGUAACAAACAGCGACACAAGAUCCGAAGCUGGAUUAGAGAGGAUAAGAAAAAGCUGUUUAAUGCCAUAUCCCAAUACAAUGAUCUUCCAACCACCACAGAAUCUGUAGAUUCAGUCGAAGACCUUCUGGCAACAGAAAGCCCUAUCUGGCCUUGGGAUUCUGAACCUGACACUUCCUUAGGCAUGAAGAAGAAGGUUUUUGACAAGGUGAUGCAGCUGGAGAGACUGAUUGAGGAAGAGGCUAUAAUUUUAGAGGAAAUGAAACAACAUUGGACUCAUCUUACAAGAACCUGCAGGGCCUUGAAGGACCAGGCUAAUGUACUAUCAGAUGACCUGGCCACACAGAACUACCCUUCAGGACUGUCUGGUCAAGCUUACCAUGGCCUGCACAGUGCUGUCCUCCAAAAAUGUGAGGAGCUCAAAACAGACCUGGUACCUGUGAAAGAAACCUACUCCCAAAUAGUGGUAAAUGGGAAUGGUGGAACUGUUGUUGAAGAAGAUGAAGACCCAUACGAGCAUGUCUCCACAGAUGCCUCUACAGAUGAUGAAUUAUAGAUUCUCUCUUCUCCACUGCACAAACUGGUCUCCUGACUCUGAGUAGCUCAAGUUAGCUCUCCCCAUUGUAAAUAAUAAAAACUUGAACCUGAAUUUUCUUUCA